UGAAAUGCGAUAAGUAAUGUGACUUGCAUUAAUCUGUGAAUCAUUGAAUUUUUGAACGCACUUUGCACUCAUCCUAAAGGACGAGUAUACUUGUUGGAGUAUCAUAACAACCUAACCAACAGAUGUUGGGAGUGUGAGGUUUUUUCUGUGGAAAUGCCUUUAAAUGGAUGAAUCCUACAGUGUGGUAAAAGACCUAGUCUUUCCCGCUAACAAAGAUUUAUUUGAACACUGAUCUCCAAUCAAGUAAGACUACCCACUGAACUUAA
rnacentral:misc_RNA from 1 species